rnacentral:tRNA from 1 species
GCGGGCAUAGUAUAGCGGUAUUAUAUUUGCUUCCCAAGCAAAAGAUGCGGGUUCGACUCCCGUUGCCCGCU